ACAUUGGUGAGAGGGUUGUUAUCCUAUUCAUGGGUAUUAGCGUCUUAUAUUCAAGUUUAGAGAGAACUAUUCAAGAAGAACAACGAAGAUGAAUCCACUUUGGAAGAUUUUCAUCAUGUUGGUCCUGUUAACUAAAGCAGCUCUUCCAGGUCCACUGGCCUAUGGAAUUUGUCAAACUGGAUGCAACGCAGUUUGGGUGGCCUGUGUAGCUGCGGCAGGGGGAGUGGCGGGUGUCUCCACCGGAGGUGCAGCAGUUCCCGCAUCUAUCCUGGCGUGUAAUUCUGCCCAGGGGGUUUGUAUGGCGGCUUGCGUUGCUGCUGGUCUCUUGCCGACCGUGUAGUUGAUCAUACUGUGUUUUUGCGUUACCAAGCAAGGCGCAUGACCCGUUAUUUGGAUUCUUAAGGUGUUAACUUCACACCUGUUGAAUAGAAAAUGGCAAACGUUUAUUAAGUCCCAGGAUAGAAGAACUUUCAUCAGAGCUGUAACCUCACUUGUGUAACAAAUAUGGCUGUA